CUUGUACUCCCUCCGUCCCGAAAUACUCGUCGGAGGAAUGGAUGUAUCUAGAUGUAUAUUAGUUCUAGAUACAUUCAUUUUUAUGCAUUUCUUCGACAAGUAUUUCCAGACGGAGGGNAGAAAAGA
rfam:Triticum aestivum genome assembly, contig: Triticum_aestivum_CS42_TGACv1_scaffold_583619_7BL